AUCUGAUAUUAUUGCUAUAUCUGUAUUGCUACACAGUCCAGGAACCGUUCGCCCCGAAUAGAAUAAAAUAGUUAUAACGUUACGUAAAAAUAUUCGGCUUAUUCAUUUCAGUACAUUCGUCCUUGUAUAGUUACUAAAACUGACAAAUUAAUGCAUUCAACUAGUUGGAUCAUACAAAAGAUAAGGAAAUAUAGUUGUAAUCGAACGUGAGUAAUGUCAAGAUGACUUCCGGCAAAACAUUGUCAAGGGAAAGUUGCCUUUGUCGGCGCAAAAGCCAGCUGUCCUGAUGGAUUUAUUGCGAAUGGACAAUCCUGUUAUAUGGAGUUGAAUAUACCUUCGACAUGGGCAGAGGCUUCCUUUUAUUGUACUCUUUUUGAGUCACAUUUGCUUACGAUAGAUUCAUCUGGAGAACAAAACAUAGUUAGCAGUAUGUUGUCAAGAUUUCCUGGACGUAUACUUCUGGAUUGGCCUAACCGACA